UAAAGAGAAUGAAAGGUGCAAUGAAGCUUCAUCUCAGUCAAACAUGUUACAAUGACUAACAGUUAACUCGUCCUACAUUACAUUGUGAAAUGAGCACAAUAUGUGAUUUGACUUGUAACUAUAUUCAUGUGUGUACACUAAGUGUGGGUGAUAGAAUUGAAGCCCCAGCUGCCAUAUCUUCUUUAUUGCUCCGGAGGAACGAAGGAACAAGUGUAGCAGUCUCCAUUAUCUUCCCAGCCCAG
rnacentral:lncRNA from 1 species